rnacentral:rRNA from 1 species
CGGAGGGUGCUAAGCGUUAUCCGGAUUCACUGGGUUUAAAGGGUGCGUAGGCGGAUUUUUAAGUCCGUGGUGAAAUCUCCGAGCUUAACUCGGAAACUGCCAUGGAUACUAUGAGUCUUGAAUGUUGUGGAGGUUUGCGGAAUAUGUCAUGUAGCGGUGAAAUGCUUAGAUAUGACAUAGAACACCGAUUGCGAAGGCAGCAGGCUACACAAAUAUUGACGCUGAGGCACGAAAGCGUGGGGAUCAAACAGGAUUAGAUACCCUGGUAGUCCACGCCCUAAACGAUGAUUACUCGACAUUUGCGAUACACAGCAAGUGUCUGAGCGAAAGCAUUAAGUAAUCCACCUGGGAAGUACGACCGCAAGGUUG